AGUUUUCUUUACCCCAGAAAAGGCCCUUUAUAUUUAAAUACUUUAUAUUUACAUCAGGAGCGCGUCCAAACUGGACAAACUAAAGCUUUUGAGUUUUUAUGUCAGCUGAAGUUCACCACAGGUUCUACUUCCCACCUCUGAGAGUGUUUAUGUACAUAUGAUAUUCAUUAGCGAUAUUCACUGCCACUAGAUGUCGCACUAGCAGCAGUAUCUCAAACCAUAGCAAAUGUGGAGGUAAUCCUGUAAUUCUCCAUUUACUUUAAUUAAAUCUCAAUAGGUAUAUGUUUAUAUCAGUGAUGUAAGUGUGGAUAUUUCAGUGGAUAAGAUGCAUGGUGCUAAAAAGGGAACCUUUUUAUUAAGAGCACCUGCUAAAAUGCAAAAAUUAGACUUUUUUUCUUUUAAUUUUUUCUUUGCCCAAACAACACCUAGCAUAAUAUAAGGAGAUUCACUUGGGGGUUGGGGGUUUACAGAUAGCAAGUGGCUGAUCCCUUAUUCAGUAGAACAUGUACUUGUACAAUGUAACUUGUACAAUGCUCAAUGAUAUAGAUAUCCAUUUCAGAUUUCUGCAACAUACUUUGUAAUUGUAUCCAUAAUUAAUUAUGAAAAUAAAUCCAGUUUAUGAUUUGUGAUAUAUGACAAUUUGAUUCUGACUGAUCAUAAUUCAAGGUCAGCUUUAAUUUGCCUCAAUUCAAGAUACUUUAAAUUAAGUUUAAAGUGAGAAUGUCAUAGUAGAAAUCCUGAACUUGAAUUGUGACUAAUGAAGCAUUGUGUUAGUUCAUGCAGGACACAGAGUCAUGUGCUCAGCUACCGAUAGGUUCAUGGGUGCUCAUCAGUCACUCACCAAUCACAGCCCAUUCUCUCACCAAAGCGGUCCCUUUAAAUACGACCUCAUCCUCACUGAUCCCUGCUCAGCUAUAACACUUUUAGCACUGUAAUGGAAAUGUUACAUUUGUGUAUGUAUAAUUGCAUGAGCAGACAUGUACUGUAUGUUGAGGACUGACCAAAUGGUUGACCAAAUUGUUAAUCGAAAAGGGCAAUAAAUCACAAAAUAUUUAUGCAGUGAUAAAUGCAAUUAGGAGUGUUGAGCUCCUUCCUGAUUAGACUUUAUCAUUGUCAGACAUACACCAAAAGUAGGGACAUCUUUUGGAUGUGAUUGAUGAAGGAUCAAAGAUCAAAUGGCAAGGUCACUAGGACCUCACAAAGCACACUUCUUGCCUUGUAAAUGCGAUACGCGCAGUACCUCAAAGUAAUGGUUAAUAUUUACCAGUGUGUUAGGUGAAUGUGUAUAUGUGCUCAGGAAACAAUUUGUAAUACGGUCUGUUCAUGUAGCGUGAAGUAAUAUUGAUAAUUACAUGACGACGAUUAAGUUAACAUAAGGCACAUCAAUCUCCUGCAAUGCUAACUGUGCGCUGUCUGUGGAAUAGUAGUACACCGUGGCUGUGGAAAAACUAUGUGACUAGUGUUGUUGCAAGCAGUCUAUUUUAAAUUGAUUUUUUCAGAAAUAAUUGCGUUACUGAGUGUACUGUUCUAAAUUGUGAGUUGCAAUAUAUUAUCAGUAUAUUAGAAGUAAGCCGAGUUAAAGAAUAUUUUGUGAAAUGCUAUAUUUGUUUAUCUUACAUGCUUAUGUUUACUUUAUUACUGGUAUCCAAAGUUGUUUAAUGAAUGCAGGUGCUAGGUCACAGAUUAGACAUGUUAAAUGUCUGUUUGGAUGUACAUUGUCUAUAGUAAUAUUUCAGUAUAGUCUAUUGACGUAUGUAAUAUUUCAGUUCUGUAGAUAUUCAGCAGUAAUUGUACACAUUGUGGCAUUUGUAUUUACAGUAGGUGGUUACACUUGUGGUGGAAAUUUAUCUUGAGAUGUAAAAUAAAGAGUUUCUCAGACAGUUGUCUUUAGGUCAUUUAAUAGAAAGCUCUGCAGAGGGUUUCACACUUAGCAUGAAUGCUCAGAGUGGAACAACUCCGAAUAGGGAAAGAAGAAGGUUUUAUACAGUCAGGUAAACAGGAAACAUAAGAGACAACUGUUGUGGCAGAACGCUCAUGUGCUAAUCACACGACACUCUCUGUGAUUCUCAACCUGUGGGAGUAUCAGUGUGUGUGGUUUCAGCUGGAGGCGUCAGCUGUUCAGAUGGAGCCAGUACUCCUUUGCAAUGGUUAGUGUGGAUCCAGGUGGCUCUCUCAGCACUGCAGUGUGGGUUGUGAGUAGCACCUGGUAGGGGCCUUGCCACCUGAGUGAGCGCCAGUUCUUUCUCCGAAAGUCUUUGACCACCACGAAGUCGCCUGGACGGGGGUCGUGAAGUGGUUCAGUCACUGGAUGAGGAAGGGAAGAUGUCACCUGUUUCCUGAUGUCUGAAAGAGCAUUAGUCAGGUUAGAACAAUAGGACAACAUAUCAUGCAUAUCACACAAGUCUGUGGAG
rnacentral:misc_RNA from 1 species